rnacentral:rRNA from 1 species
ACGCUGGCGGCGUGCCUAAUACAUGCAAGUAGAACGCUGAAGGAGGAGCUUGCUUCUCUGGAUGAGUUGCGAGCGGGUGAGUAACGCGUAGGUAACCUGCCUGGUAGCGGGGGAUAACUAUUGGAAACGAUAGCUAAUACCGCAUAACAGUAGAUGUUGCAUGACAUUUGCUUAAAAGGUGCAAUUGCAUCACUACCAGAUGGACCUGCGUUGUAUUAGCUAGUUGGUGGGGUAACGGCUCACCAAGGCGACGAUACAUAGCCGACCUGAGAGGGUGAUCGGCCACACUGGGACUGAGACACGGCCCAGACUCCUACGGGAGGCAGCAGUAGGGAAUCUUCGGCAAUGGACGGAAGUCUGACCGAGCAACGCCGCGUGAGUGAAGAAGGUUUUCGGAUCGUAAAGCUCUGUUGUAAGAGAAGAACAGGUGUGAGAGUGGAAAGUUCACACUGUGACGGUAUCUUACCAGAAAGGGACGGCUAACUACGUGUCAGCAGCCGCGGUAAUACGUAGGUCCCGAGCGUUGUCCGGAUUUAUUGGGCGUAAAGCGAGCGCAGGCGGUUAGAUAAGUCUGAAGUUAAAGGCUGUGGCUUAACCAUAGUACGCUUUGGAAACUGUUAAACUUGAGUGCAAGAGGGGAGAGUGGAAUUCCAUGUGUAGCGGUGAAAUGCGUAGAUAUAUGGAGGAACACCGGUGGCGAAAGCGGCUCUCUGGCUUGUAACUGACGCUGAGGCUCGAAAGCGUGGGGAGCAAACAGGAUUAGAUACCCCUGGUAGUCCACGCCGUAAACGAUGAGUGCUAGGUGUUAGACCCUUUCCGGGGUUUAGUGCCGCAGCUAACGCAUUAAGCACUCCGCCUGGGGAGUACGACCGCAAGGUUGAAACUCAAAGGAAUUGACG